GGGGAAUAUUGCACAAUGGGCGAAAGCCUGAUGCAGCGACGCCGCGUGAGGGAAGAAGGUUUUCGGAUUGUAAACCUCUGUCUUCGGGGACGAAACAAAUGACGGUACUCGAGGAGGAAGCCACGGCUAACUACGUGCCAGCAGCCGCGGUAAUACGUAGGUGGCAAGCGUUGUCCGGAAUUACUGGGUGUAAAGGGAGCGCAGGCGGAACUGCAAGUUGGGUGUUUAAUCUACGGGCUCAACCCGUAUCAGCAUUCAAAACUGUGGUUCUUGAGUAAUGCAGAGGUAGGCGGAAUUCCCGGUGUAGCAGUGGAAUGCGUAGAUAUCGGGAGGAACACCAGUGGCGAAGGCGGCCUACUGGCAUCAACUGACGCUGAGGCUCGAAAGCAUGGGUAGCAAAC
rnacentral:rRNA from 1 species